AGAUAAGCUAUGGUUGCCAUGGUAACACCGAGUCCCCCAUCCCCGGGCCUCAUGGACCCAGGGCCUUUCAGCAGUGGGGGGUAGGCAGAGACAGGAGGGAGGCAGUGCUGAGGGGCAGCCAGAACCUGCAGCUCACCAGGGAGGCACAUCCCAGGACACGUGUGUGAGGCAGAUGUUGAAACUGAGGCUCUAAAAGGAACCAGAUCAGGAUCGCCAGCCAGUGCCCGGUGGAACCAGGACUUGAACUCAGAUCUGUGAGAACUCAAAGCAUCUAUGCCCUUAUCACAGCAUUUCCAAGCAUCGUGGAUGGGCUGACAGGCCCCUUUCAUCACAAGACUGUGAAACGUGUCCAGGCAGCAUUCCUUCCUCUCCCUAGGACUUCCCUUACAGCCUACCAGCACAGCUUCUCCAUGGGGAAGAGCCCUCACCCACUGCCUGUCACAGGGUCCUGGGGUGCAGCUAUGGGGUGAGAGGAACCAAAA